AGUAUAGUUGAUUUAUUUAGGAGAGUUAGUUGAUUUGUGUUCUCCGUAGUCGUGUUGAAUGUCCUGCAAAAAAAAGCAAAAAAGAAUCUCUUUGUGUUUGCAAUACGUGCCAAUCCAAACAUUUCUUAUUGAGUCGCCCAUUGAUAUUCAAUCACCACAUAUGCCUUGUUUAUUAGUAUUACCAUGUGGCUGAUGCAGCCUAGUACUAGUAGUUAUGUCAAUGUUUGUGGAGGGAGGAUGGAGCAGAUCAGGAUCGGCAGACACAGAGCGGAGCGCGGAGGGAGGGAGGAUCGGGGCGAUGGGGAUUGCCGGCGGUGAGGAUGGAUGGAGGCGCCGCCGCCGACGCAGCGCGGCCAUUGGUGGUAUAAGCUGCACAGUAAGAAGAGCAAAGUUGACAAUUUACCUUGAAGGAAACUCAUGAUAAAUGUAAAUACACCAUGCGAAAGUAGACGAUCAGGUUGUGCCUAUCACCCCUCAUGGUAACCUCUGCACCACCAGGAAUUUUACCUUAAAAUAUAGCAAAUGAAGUGAAUUACAUUUUCUAAAUUCAGGCACAAAUGGAAUAUCUAGGUGUAGAUAGUUUAUUGAUCGCAAUUUAUCAUUGACUUCAUUGUGAACUGGAGAUAUGCUUUAUGUACCAGUUUUUUUACUGCCUAAUACAGAGAGCAGUGCGCAUCAAUAUUUGUAAGUGGAACCUAUAACUUCCUAUUCCUUUUUGCUAAACUGUGGCAUUCUUUAGAUGUUUUGCUGGUGGAUGCAUCUGGACAUCAUUGAAAAGUGGUCUAUAACUACAUGUGUUCCUACUCUUAAUCAUAUAAUUCCUGAUAUAAGGUAGAGAAAGGGUCUAGGUUCUUAAUUUAACAGAUGGAUAAAAUUAUUUAUUACUUAAAUGUAAGGCGAAUGUAGUCCAGUUUAGGACUUUCUAUAGGCAGGUAUUAGAGCCAAUCCCUUGGGAUGAGCUUUUAAUUCAUUUUUCUAUUCAUCGAAAGGGAUUGUGUGACCCCAAGCAGUCACUAUGAUUUUGGAUAGCCAGGGACAAGAUGAUGAUGAGACAAUAAUUACACAAAGUUAGCACUAGUGCUGACCAUAAGAAUUUGAUGAGAUAGUUUCAGCUAUAUCUUUGUAGCAUCAGUCUACUAUUCAGAGUUGAGGUAUUGAUUUGUUUGAGUGUUUGACCAUCAAGCAGGUGGUACUUUCACAGUUUCACAUGUUCAAAAACAGAUGUGUCAACAAAUGCCAGCUUACAGUGAGAGCAGGUCAACCUGAACAUGUUUAACAACUGUAAAUGAUCUUGUUAGGGAUUUACCAAUUCGAGUAAUCCUCCAAUAUUAAUGGGUACAAAUAUAGAACAAUUCCAUGUCAUUCCUUGAAUAAGAAACUCAUGAGGAACAAUGAUUUAACUAAAGUACUCCAGCAUUAGGAAAUUUCUAGUUACUAUUUGCAUGAUGAAUCUUUUUUGCUCUGCUGUGGGAACAGCAACAUACAGACUUAAUGGGUAACUUGGCUAAGCUAAUAAGAUACAUUAACCUGAGGUGAACGGCAUAGGAGAUUGGGACCCCAUGAGAAGUGCGAGCGAGUAAAAGUAAAUUCAAUAGGAUAAGGAGAGGGAGAUAAAAUUCUCGAGAGAAAAUACAACCAUGUUUGUUUGCGAUUACACAUGUGCGCCAAAUUGCAUCCGAUGGAUCAGAGGGAACAUAAGCUAAAACAGAAUCCGAAGAAUUCUUGCUGGUCCAUAACAUUCUUUUCAUAUCAAUUGUCAUAUGCUCCAGCCUUAUUUAUUCCUCAUCUCAUCUGUGUAUGAUAAGAGAAAAUUAGGGUCUGACGUGAGUUUGCUCUGUGUACGCGCUUCUUUGACAUAGUAUGUGUUUUAAUAUAUCAUUUGAUGAAGCCUAUAGCAGCAUCACUUGAUUGCCCAGUAGUUCUUCUGGUGUAUAUAUUGUAUAUCUAAUUACAGUUCAUAGCUGAAACUGAGUCUUGAUUACUGAUAGUCUUUUCACUGUACACAUGAUCUUUUUUUUAUUACAGCUCAAUUCAUAGUAUCUGGUACGUUUCUUUGUAUUUCAGGUAUAAGCUGCACAGUAAGAAGAGCAAAGUUGACAAUUUGCCUCGAAGGAAACCAGUGAUAUAUGUGGAUCAAUGAUUAACAUGAGACAGAUACUGAACUUAUGGUAAAGAACUGCAUAUACCAAGAAUGCUUUACAGGACCAACAAAGUCUUCCAGACCAUUUGGAACGAGAAGCCUGAUGGAACAGUGCAACGAGAUAUUAAGAUCCAGAAGGGCUCCACAAUCAGAGGGAUGGUGCCUGAUACACUCGAAGCAAACUCAGAUUUUGGAUAACCACGGGCAAGUUGAUGAUGAUGAGUGAAAACCCUUCUUUCCUGACCUUCCUAAGGGAAAGGGAGCAGCAAGUAUGCGAUGAAGCUCGUGUGGCGCCCCUUCUCUGCACGCUUUGGUUCGUUCCAAGCUCACGUGGCACGUGUUGACUGAGUACAACAAGUGCAAAUAGAGGCACAGCAAAGGGCCUUUCUGUAAUUGUGUUUGUAAUCUUAGUCCUCUUUCAUGACCUGUUUGAUGCUUUUGCAUCUUUGAGAUUGUGAAACUGACGUGUGUGUAUAUGAUCCUGAUGGUGACUUCAGUCUUGCAAAUGUCAUUCCUGGUCGAA